UCAAAUCAACGCAUUGAUGGCAAUGCUGCUGCCAGUUCUGCCGUUGUUUACCUUUUUCUUCUUCUUCUAGUCCGUAGAAAUAGCAAAGUUGGUAGCCUUUUCUCAUUAGCACCACCUCGGUUCAGGAGAACACAGCAACUAGUGUUAUUUCUAAGUAUAAAAAUCAU